rnacentral:rRNA from 1 species
GGUAACGGCCCACCGUGGCGACGAUGCGUAGGGGUUCUGAGAGGAAGGUCCCCCACACUGGUACUGAGACACGGACCAGACUCCUACGGGAGGCAGCAGUGAGGAAUAUUGGUCAAUGGGAGAGAUCCUGAACCAGCCAAGCCGCGUGAGGGAAGACGGCCCUAUGGGUUGUAAACCUCUUUUGUCGGAGAACAAAACCCGGGACGUGUCCCGGACUGCGUGUAUCCGAAGAAAAAGCAUCGGCUAACUCCGUGCCAGCAGCCGCGGUAAUACGGAGGAUGCGAGCGUUAUCCGGAUUUAUUGGGUUUAAAGGGUGCGUAGGCGGUCCGUUAAGUCAGCGGUAAAAUUGCGGGGCUCAACCCCGUCGAGCCGUUGAAACUGGCAGACUUGAGUUGGCGAGAAGUACGCGGAAUGCGCGGUGUAGCGGUGAAAUGCAUAGAUAUCGCGCAGAACUCCGAUUGCGAAGGCAGCGUACCGGCGCCAGACUGACGCUGAGGCACGAAAGCGUGGGGAUCGAACAGGAUUAGAUACCCUGGUAGUCCACGCAGUAAACGAUGAAUGCUGGUUGUCCGGGUCGAAUGAGACCUGG